rnacentral:rRNA from 1 species
AACACAAAAUUCACUCCACCUGGGAGAGUGCCGUCGCGGGUCUGAAUCUCAAAGAAUAUUGACGGGAGGCCCACACAGAGCGGGAGAGCAUGUGGUUUAAUUGGAAGCAACGCGAAGAACCUUACCAGGUCUUGACAUCCCGCUGACCGCUCUGGAGACAGAGCUUCCCUUCGGGGCAGCGGUGACAGGUGGUGCAUGGUUGUCGUCAGCUCGUGUCGUGAGAUGUUGGGUUAAGUCCCGCAACGAGCGCAACCCUUAUCUUUAGUUGCCAGCAUUCAGUUGGGCACUCUAGAGAGACUGCCGUCGACAAGACGGAGGAAGGCGGGGAUGACGUCAAAUCAUCAUGCCCCUUAUGACCUGGGCUACACACGUGCUACAAUGGUUGGUACAACGGGAUGCUACCUCGCGAGAGGAUGCCAAUCUCUUAAAACCAAUCUCAGUUCGGAUUGUAGGCUGCAACUCGCCUACAUGAAGUCGGAAUCGCUAGUAAUCGCGGAUCAGCAUGCCGCGGUGAAUACGUUCCCGGGCCUUGUACACACCGCCCGUCACACCACGGGAGUUUGCAACACCCGAAGUCGGUGAGGUAACCGCAAGGAGCCAGCCGCCGAAGUGGGUAAAAAUAGGGGCG